AGAGUGAACGCUGGCGGUAGGCCUAACACAUGCAAGUCGAACGGCAGCACGGUAAGAGCUUGCUCUUAUGGGUGGCGAGUGGCGGACGGGUGAGGAAUACAUCGGAAUCUACCUUUUGGUGGGGGAUAACGUAGGGAAACUUACGCUAAUACCGCAUACGCCCUUCGGGGGAAAGCCGGGGACCAGCAAUGGCCUGGCGCUGAUAGAUGAGCCGAUGUCGGAUUAGCUAGUUGGUGAGGUAAUGGCUCACCAAGGCGACGAUCCGUAGCUGGUCUGAGAGGAUGAUCAGCCACACUGGAACUGAGACACGGUCCAGACUCCUACGGGAGGCAGCAGUGGGGAAUAUUGGACAAUGGGCGCAAGCCUGAUCCAGCCAUACCGCGUGGUGAGAAGGCCUUCGGUUGUAAAGCCUUUGUUGGAAAGAAAGCAUUCGGUUAAUACCGGUGGUCUGACGGUACCCAAAGAAUAAGCACGGCUAACUCGUAGCCAGCAGCCG
rnacentral:rRNA from 1 species